rnacentral:piRNA from 1 species
UUGAGUAGCUCCAAUUAUACC